rnacentral:rRNA from 1 species
UACGUAGGGACCAAGCGUUGUUCGGAUUUACUGGGCGUAAAGGGCGCGUAGGCGGCGUGGUAAGUCAGUUGUGAAAUCUCCGAGCUUAACUCGGAACGGCCAACUGAUACUGCUGUGCUAGAGUGCAGAAGGGGCGAAUCAAGAUUCUUGGUGUAGCGGUGAAAUGCGUAGAUAUCAAGAGGAAUACCAGAGGUGAAGACGGGUUGCUAGGCUGACACUGACGCUGAGGCGCGAAAGCCAGGGGAGCAAACGGG